AAGCCUCUUCUUGAGUCUGGCUAGGAGAGCACAGGGCUCCCUUUUCUGCCUGGGAAAUGUUUAGGAGACUCUGGUCUUCCGAGUGCUGCUUCCCUGACAGACUCUUACCCUGGGGAGCCUGUUGGGUGGCGGUGGGUAGGGCUCGGAAACUCCGAGGACUGGUGGCUGGCUCUGACUCGUCUGUGGAGAGCCCACUGUCAGCCUCAGCCUCCAGGGAGCCAAUGGUUUUCUCCAGGAAGAGCAGACACUCCUUUUCUUCAGCAGACAGGAAGUCGUAGCUGCUGUCACUCUGUUGGGAGAAGCAGCUAUGAGAUGACCCAAUGGAGCAUGACUACUCUUACUGAUGUCUUCCAGUCAGAAACAGGAUGACGUCUCUGUGUCCCCAAUCUCUCAUGUCAAAGGGAAGAUGUGCAUAUCCUGCGAGCACUUUGGAUUUAUAUGUGCAUGCAUUGGCUUUUCUGCUCCCUGUUUAUCUAUCAAAACUUAUUAUCUAGGCAUCUAGGUGUGCUGGGCACACUACUGAGUUCCAGGAAUACUCUAUCUCCAAAACAAACGAACGACUCAUAAACCCAUUAACUAUAUUAAACAUUAACAUUUUGUAGAAACCUUUCAUAAACCUCAGAUUUUCUUUUC